AAGGUCGUAACAAGGUUUCCCGUAGGUGAACCCUGCGGAAGGAUCAUUAUCGAGAUAGGGUCCUUCGGGGCCCGACCUCCAACCCACUGCUUACUAAAAGCCCAUGUUGCCUCGGUGAAAGCGUCGGUGAGCUUCAGUAGAAGCCCCGCCUCCAACCCUAAUUUCAGGGAUUAGAGUGCUCUCGCCGGCGGAAAUUAUACACAAAAAUCUCUUCUGAAACCCGGUCCCUCUGAGUGAAAAAUUUUCAAUACUUCAAAAAC
rnacentral:misc_RNA from 1 species